AGCUGGAUCAUUUUUCCGAUUACAAACGAAAAAAAAAAACAACCGUGAGAGUGAGGUGGAAGAAAUUCCCUCCCUUCUCUUCACACACAAAACAGGGUGUGGCUUAGACGGUGGCCCUUUCCCACAAGAAAGGGAUUUCAUCGUCGAAGGUCUCUUUCCCUUUGCCGCAAACAAGGCUUUUUGAGAAAAAAAAGCAUGUUGCAUUUGGCUUUCACAACGUGUCGCGAUGGAUGACUUGGCUUCCCAUUUCGUUGAAGAACGCAGCAAAGUGCGAUAAGUGGUAUCAAUUGCAGAAUUUCACAUUACCGAGUUUUUGAACGCAAAAGGCGCCUGGGAGAAGCCCCCUAGGGGUGAUACCCAUGCAUGCCGUUUCUCAGUGUCGAUACAAAAACAAAACCCUUCCAUGGUUCCUCUCCUAAAAAAAAAGGGGGGCUGUGUGUUUGCGGUUUGCAUGUUUCCUUGGUGUUUUGGCGGCGCUCAGCCAACCAAAAACCGAGCGUUGAAUCGGAAGGAACCCGAGAGGGGGAAAGCCGAAAACAACAUGACACAAUGCAACCAAACUUUUGAGUGUUGACCUAGGUCUCACUCUCUUCAUUUUGGUAACAGACCUGAGUGCGGCAGGACCACCCGCCGAACUUAAGCAUAUUACUCAGCGGAGGAAAAGAAAACAACCGUGAUUCCCUCAGUCAGCGGCGAGCGAAGAGGGACCGAACUCGAUGCCGAAUCGGGGCUCAAACGCCCUUGAGUUGUGGCACUUGCUAUUGAUUGGUUGGUGUGGGACUGGCAAAAUUCAAUGCGCAAAGCAAACCCAUUGCUGAAAACUACCCUCAUGUGAGUAUUGAGCCCUAGAAGGUGUUAGCCCAUUUGAGCCAGAAACCCAUGCCUCAUGAGAUGGCAUAAGCGAGUAGCACUGCUUGGGAGUGCAGUGUUAAGUGGCAGGUAUGUGUCUGCCAAAGUUAAAUACAGAGUGGGAAGACCGAUAGCAAACAAGUAGCGUGAGCGAAAGUUUGAAAAGUACUUUGGAAAGAGAGUGACAUAGAACCUGAAGUCGUGACAACGAUAAUGAAAGUACCUCCAUUUUAUGGCCAAAACCAUCCUUACGGCAUUCGUUCGCGUGUGGACCAUCAAACCGCCACAUGCGCAACCACAAGUGCAAAAAUGAGGUUGGUAAAGCGAGCAGAGGUAAAGCAUGUGGCACUGCCGCACUUCCGUCGAAAGGCGUGUGGUGUGACCAGCAAGCUAUGUGCUUCUCUGGGAAUUACUCGAUGUUGGCGAACACUCAGUGGAAAUGGGGUACCUUCACCCGUCUUGAAACACGGACCAAGGAGUCAAACAGACACGCAAGGGGGAAGACGAACAGAUAAAACGCUUCUCUCGUACUGAAAGGGUGGGACUUGUCCCAUGGUGUGCACUUAAUAGGCCCAACACCGACCGGCCCUAUGAGGGUUGAGUUCGAGUGUGCCUGUUUGGACCCGAAAGGUGGUGAACUAUGCCUGAACAAGGUGAAGCCGGGGGAAACCCAGGUGGAGGCCUGUAGCGAUGCUGACGUGCAAAUCGCUCGCAUGAUUUGGGUAUCGGAGCGAAAGACUCAUCGAACCACCUAGUAGCUGGUUCACAU
rnacentral:misc_RNA from 1 species